rnacentral:rRNA from 1 species
GAUGAACGCUGGCGGCGUGCCUAAUACAUGCAAGUCGAGCGAACGGACGAGAAGCUUGCUUCUCUGAUGUUAGCGGCGGACGGGUGAGUAACACGUGGAUAACCUACCUAUAAGACUGGGAUAACUUCGGGAAACCGGAGCUAAUACCGGAUAAUAUUUUGAACCGCAUGGUUCAAAAGUGAAAGACGGUCUUGCUGUCACUUAUAGAUGGAUCCGCGCUGCAUUAGCUAGUUGGUAAGGUAACGGCCUACCAAGGCAACGAUGCAUAGCCGACCUGAGAGGGUGAUCGGCCACACUGGAACUGAGACACGGUCCAGACUCCUACGGGAGGCAGCAGUAGGGAAUCUUCCGCAAUGGGCGAAAGCCUGACGGAGCAACGCCGCGUGAGUGAUGAAGGUCUUCGGAUCGUAAAACUCUGUUAUUAGGGAAGAACAUAUGUGUAAGUAACUGUGCACAUCUUGACGGUACCUAAUCAGAAAGCCACGGCUAACUACGUGCCAGCAGCCGCGGUAAUACGUAGGUGGCAAGCGUUAUCCGGAAUUAUUGGGCGUAAAGCGCGCGUAGGCGGUUUUUUAAGUCUGAUGUGAAAGCCCACGGCUCAACCGUGGAGGGUCAUUGGAAACUGGAAAACUUGAGUGCAGAAGAGGAAAGUGGAAUUCCAUGUGUAGCGGUGAAAUGCGCAGAGAUAUGGAGGAACACCAGUGGCGAAGGCGACUUUCUGGUCUGUAACUGACGCUGAUGUGCGAAAGCGUGGGGAUCAAACAGGAUUAGAUACCCUGGUAGUCCACGCCGUAAACGAUGAGUGCUAAGUGUUAGGGGGUUUCCGCCCCUUAGUGCUGCAGCUAACGCAUUAAGCACUCCGCCUGGGGAGUACGACCGCAAGGUUGAAACUCAAAGGAAUUGACGGGGACCCGCACAAGCGGUGGAGCAUGUGGUUUAAUUCGAGGCAACGCGAAGAACCUUACCAAAUCUUGACAUCCUUUGACAACUCUAGAGAUAGAGCCUUCCCCUUCGGGGGACAAAGUGACAGGUGGUGCAUGGUUGUCGUCAGCUCGUGUCGUGAGAUGUUGGGUUAAGUCCCGCAACGAGCGCAACCCUUAAGCUUAGUUGCCAUCAUUAAGUUGGGCACUCUAAGUUGACUGCCGGUGACAAACCGGAGGAAGGUGGGGAUGACGUCAAAUCAUCAUGCCCCUUAUGAUUUGGGCUACACACGUGCUACAAUGGACAAUACAAAGGGCAGCGAAACCGCGAGGUCAAGCAAAUCCCAUAAAGUUGUUCUCAGUUCGGAUUGUAGUCUGCAACUCGACUACAUGAAGCUGGAAUCGCUAGUAAUCGUAGAUCAGCAUGCUACGGUGAAUACGUUCCCGGGUCU